UUUCUUUUUCUUCCGGCUCUUGGAGGGUGCAGACGCUUUUUUCCUCCUCUCCUCCAUAUCUUAUCCUCAAGGCCUUUGUCUGUCUGUGUGUGCUGGGUGCACGGCUGCUUCUGCUUUUUUUCUGGAAACUGAAAUUCACUAAAAUGGAUCUCGUCAGUUGGUCUCUCAACGCGAUUGAUAACAUUUUUCAACGAUGAGAACGGGAGAAGAGGCUCCCAGAUGCCCUGCCGGGACAGACCCAGUUGGACACAUCAUGGACUCCUGGAAACAGUGGAACUUGGUCUGUCUUUCUCAGCUGUCUGUGGAGGACUCUGAAGACGUGUGGAUAUUUGUGGUGUUGGUGUCAGGUUUCCUGCUCAUUGGCCUUGGACGCUACCUGGCUUACCGGAAAAUUAACGAGCUGUCGAGGAAUAUUGGCCUGAUCCCGGAGCUCAGAGAUGGAUUGCACCGUGCUGUGAAUUCACAGAAUCAAAUAAUUGUCGAGACGAAUCGUAAGCUUGGGACUUUGGCCGAGAUUCAUUAUUGGCCCAACAGAUGGAUGCCAUCAAGGAUAGAGUGGACGAAUCAGCACGGAUUGGGAUAGUUUAAUGUCCAUUAUUGGGAUUUUGAGAGGCUGAGGACCAACAAACUGUAAGACAGAGAGGAAAUUAUCUCUGUCUGGCCCCAAAACAAUUUCUAACCGGAAUCUGGCGCCCUUGAGCCUGCAAGGCUCACAAGAAAACUCCUCCCAGUUCAUGAGAUGAUAGUAAAUAUUCCCUUUCUUUCUCCAUCCACUUUACCUGAUAAGCUAACUUUAGGCAAACCAGCAGCACAAAAAAUAUUUUCAAAUAAGACUCACAAACCUGAGUCAACACCAGUAUCAUCAAAGCUGGGGUUCUGUCGUUGUACUUUUUGUCUAAAAAUCAUCCUUAUGUCCAUCUUCACUCAUGUGUUUCAGGCAGAGAGUGUAGAAGAAGCCGGCUGCUGAAGGGCUUCUUCUUCAGUGGUGGAGGCUCAGGCAGGCUGUAUACAGACUACUGCCAGCUGCUCCCUCUCUGUUGGACUUUGAUGUAACCUCUCCAGCUUGUCCUGGAUUGACCCAGGGGCCUCCUGCCAGCUUGAAUUUGUUCCUUACACAAAGCUCAGGACCGUCGGUCAAGAUUGUAACAAAGAUGGACCAAAAGCCAGAAGGCAAAAGUGAUGUUCCAGGAAAAUUCUGGGAAGGGGGCAAAUUGACCGGGACAUCCGAAGGCUCGGUCCUCUCCGCUGCUGUCUCCAUUGUAGCGUCCAGAAAUGAGUUCCGAGCGGCUGCCUGCUGUCCACCACAGCUCGUGUGGAGGAGUAAACGCAGCAGCUCCUCUCUGUAGAGACUUUAUGGCUGCUGCAGGGUCCGAAGUCCAUGGAAGUUGUUCCGAUAAGAGGAGCCAAUAAAAGCAGCAGAGCUGCAGAGUAAACACGCGUCUCUGCGCUCGGACCGGUCCCGGUUCUGCUCGGAUUUACAUCAGCCAACCCACUCAUUACCAUCUUUUAUAUUCCUGCGCCCUCGGAAAGCGUGAUGGUAAAGUAGACGCAUCCUCCCCUCCUACAGGGAAGUCCGUCACGCAGCUUCUCGGAGCAGGUGUCGCAAGCAGAACUCAGGAAGAAGAGAACUUUUCCUCCUCUUCUCCUCUCCCAGGAGCAGCAGCGGGCUUUAUGU